AUCCAUCUUCUAACCACCUACCCUGGUACACCGUGGAGGGUUUUAAACCAUCGUCCCCGAAGGGACGUACACUCAUACAUCAUAUUACCGUCAAUACCCCAGGGCCCAGCUCCAAGAACAGAGAAGAUUUUGAGUACAGAGCCAUGAGGGUCUGAAGGGUUGCUGACUUUUUAGGUGUUGUGGAAAUGAGGAGUUUGACAUUGGGAAGUAAAGACUGUGGAAGCCAUGUGAGAUUGCAGGACCCAUCUUCCUCGUGACCCAUUUGGUCCAGCCCAUCAAGGAUGAGGAUUAGAGGACGUUUUGAUGUGGAAAUCCUAAUCAGAAGACGAGAGUAGAUGCUGCAGAGAUCCCACUGCUGGAGGAGGUCCUGGACGAGGGGGUCGUUGGCGUGUGCCUGGUCCCUAACGAGAG